ACAUAAGAGUGGAUGGGAAGCUGGCUUUAAAUAGAGAGAACCAUGAGGAGAGUAAAGGUACCUUUCUUGGCUGAUCCCUUUCGCUUUAUGGCGUGCUCGUUUGGGUUGGGCGUCGGCUAAGAGUGCUCGGAGCGUGGAUUAACUCCAGUCUCCAAUCAGGUAAUUUCCAGCCUUAGAUGGAUCGGGGUUGCUAGGGGCUCGGAGGAAGCCACACACACUAUUUAUGUUACAGUUUUGAUUAUUACCUUUAAAUUAUUUUAUGUGGGUUGUAGUAAAGCCAUUGUAAUUUUCUGGAUUUCAAAUUUGGAAUUUUAUUGAUUGUUCUUAUAA